AAUGUGCUUUUGGCUAGGCUCCUUAUCUAAAGGCUGUGAUCUUUGUCAGGAAGAUUGACAAAGCUUGUAUCCAUGGUAUUUAUUUAUGCACGCUGAUAUGUACAGUCUGGGGACAGACUACUUCGAAUGUUGCUUUCUUGGAGACAGAUGUCAGUGCUGUUCAUAGAAAGGUGCUGUUGUGGACUGCAAUGCUCUGACAUGCUGUCCAUCUUGUCAUCUUGAAUAUUCCUCUCCUGAAUUAGCUCUGUGCAAGGUACAGACAGGGAGCUACAAUAAUAUAUCUGUAUAUGGGCUGCACUGUGGUCUCUGAAAGUGAAGAGGUGACAACUUCCAAGCAGAAGCUGUUGUUGAAGCCACUGACCUAAUAGUGUUUUAAAGCCUGGUGUUAUUUCAAGUUGGCCAUCAGAACCCAAGAGUCAAAGGCUAGAAGGAGUUAACAUCAACCUGGCAUCUUGCUUCAGGAUCACUGGAUUUGAAAAAUAAGAGGACCAGGAGACUAGAAGGAGCAUAAAUAAAUGAAGCAAGGGCAAGUCAGUCACCCUGGAAGACUCCCUCCCACUUAACACAAAGCAAUCCAUUUGAAAUGAUUGGACUUCAGACUACCUUUAAUCUGUUAUUUCCCAUCUGCCUGCAGUGGAGCAUCAUUUAGAGGCUGGUCUGUCUCUAAAAAAUCCUUGUGAACAGCAGCUGUCCAGUUAUUCCCAAAACACGCCAGUCCUAUCUAGCUUGUAAGCAUGUUAUCUUACGGGACAGGGCUGACUGAUGCUGGCUGAUAAACAGAUGGGUGAUCUUCCAGCUGUGGGGCACAGACUGAAGAAUUUGCUUUGGGUUUAAAGCAAAAGGAAUUUUCUGAACUUGCUCAACUGAAUUCCACGUUGUGUUUGACCUUGGCUCAAUGGCACCUAAAUCUGUAAUACUAUGUAUCCAUUAUAAUAUGUAUGAAUAAGCAAAACCUGUAGAGGCAUCUCUCUGAAGCAGGACAAUAGCUUAAUGCCUUUUUGCUAUUAGUGUAAGUGAUACUAAUCUCACAUCUUUCCUUUAGUUCCCUUGUCCCUGAAGGUAUCUGUUAGCAAAUGCUGUACUUAAGCUAAUGGACACCACCAGCAGAAUCUCCAAGCCAGAUCACCCCAACUAUUCUGUGAUAUUUCAGGGCUUUUUAAUACUCUGAUCAAUAUGUGUGGAGAUUUCUUGCAACAGAAGUAAACUACCGUUAACUGAGAGAGAAUUGAUUAGUUUAAGCCCAUCAUGAUUUGACUGCAGGCCACAGCCAUACCCAAUGCUGUCUGCUUUCAGUCUGCCCAUGGGUGACUUGGCUCCAUGUUGGCAAGGUACAGUGGUUCCUGGAAGAGUCACCCUGACAUACACAGCCAUACUCAAAAUACAAAUGCGUUGACCUAAAUUGGUUAGAUACUUAAACAGAACAGGAGCGGGAAGGCAGAUAAGAAUUUUAUUAUGGCCCUGGAGAAGCAAAUUGAAUUCAGCCUCAGCAGGUGUACUGCUGGAUGCAAUGGUCUGGAUUGUUUUGUUAGUUUUGCUGGAGGGUAGUGCUUUAGCCUUGCUCAUCAUUAAUCAGGAAUAAAGAGCCCAUUUUAUUAGUUACCGUGCACAGAUUUUCCCUCUUGCAGGAUAUUUAAAAUACUAUGAAUCAGCAUUCAACUUGAAAACAUUAAAAGACUUGGAAAGGAAAUUUCAAAUAAGUGCAAGGAAGGAUAUAAAAAGUGGGAUCAAUUUAACUGGAAAAUGCAUUACCCAUGUAAGUCCUAAAUAUCUGCUGAGUGUGGAAAGGCUGAUAAAAACAAACGAAUCAAUAGAAUUAAUUAACUGGGAGGCAGUGUGGUCUAACAGAAAGACCAUAAGGAUGGGAGCAAAUCCUCUUGUGAUUUCAGCUUGUACUGCAGUACUGAAUAACUAGGUGUUUAGGCUUCAGUCUCUUUUUAAGGCUGUCUGAAGGAUUUAGGUUUUCUCAUCAGUAGGUCUUAGAUCCUCAGACGCCUUCCCUUUGACUGCACCCAAGAUAAGAGUACCAUGUAAUCACUGUGCUUCCAAAGAGUUCUCAAGGCAGGUAGUAGAAAAUCAAACUUCAGAAGCUGAAGAUUUGAACUGUGCCCUGGUGAAUGCAAUGGCAACCCUCGGCCUCCCCAUUGAAGAGGAGUAGAAUGAAAUUCUGUCUUCAGUUCUGCAAAAUUAAUUGCCUUGAAGUUACUACUCCUUGGGUCACUGUUUUCAACAAGGAAUGCACUACUUGUAGGGAAAACCUGGAAUGCUGUGUGGAUUAGCACAUAGACCACUUGUAAAAAGUCCUUUCUAGAUGAAGCUCGCUCUGCAUUUCAUUUUCCUAAAAGUGCCCGCUUUCCAUGUUGGCAAGGUAGCAGGGAACUCAUCAAGCUCCCGCCCGACCAAAGCCAGUCCAGCUAUCAACAGCAGAACUGGUGGCAUCCUAGCCACAAGACUGUGCUUUAGUAGAGUGAACAGAGGAAAUGACAUAACAGCUGAGCUAAAAGCUACAGGAGACUUGCCUAUUAUAUUGACUUAUUGCUGUUUUUUUGUGAGUUUGAAUUUUCAUCUGGAUUUUAAAGCUUUUGCAGCUUUAGGCAUAAGCUUCCAGGGAGCUUAAAAGCACAACCUGCAGUAGAGGUAUGCUUGAGCACCAGAGUAGUGGAAGAUCUCAUCUACUAAGCACUGUCCUAUAUCUGUAUCCUUCUUUCAAUACGAUCUUUUUAAAGCAGUCUUGUAUCCUUGCCACCAGUAAAUCCAUUUCCAAACUGC
rnacentral:lncRNA from 1 species